AGUAAUAGUAAUAGUGAGGGGCCUUUUGUGGGACAUUAUUACAGUCAAACUCAUAUUUUGUCAGAUAAGCGCAUGAAGAGGCUGAGGUUCAAAGAGCUUUCCUGUUAAAUUUGCUAGAGAGAACUCUGUGACAUCUCUUCCUUUUUGCCUUGGCAGGAAGCUGAAACACUACAUCCUUCCUUCCUGCCUGAGCAUCUCUCUCUUUCCCUCAUGCCUCCAAGCUGACUACUCAGACAACAUUUUGAACUUAGAUUUUGUGCUUUUGUAACUUAGUAGUUAUAAACCUGCCUUCAUUUUGCUACUGUAAACUGCUGCUUCAAGACCUAGCUUAGGACAUUCCCUGCGGGUUUUUACACCGGGAGGCUCCCUGAAUGACAAGUACCGGGCUCCUGCUUUUCUCUGCUAUCACGCUGGCGAGCAACUGGGACUGGGGUCCGGCUGAUUUCACAUCCUGGCGGUUUUGUUCUCUAAUCUGCAAGUGGAAAUGAAGGAAAAGAGGAGAAAGUUUGUGGUCUGUGGGAUUGAAGCAAUGCCCCUGAAGAAGAGAAAGCAACACGCAAAGUUUCUUGGUGCCAUCAGGGGCUGUGGAUCAGGACCAGGCUCCCUGUUACCAGCACUAACGGGAUACCUGGCUGCAGUUCUGACCUAGUCCAGCGCAUUGCAGGGGGUAGGACGAGGUGACUUCCAACCCUACAAUUCUGUGACUCUACACUGCAUUACACCAGCUCUCCCCAUUGUAUUUCUGCUAGGGAGAGAGGCUGCGGGGAUUCUUCCCCAAUACACAAUUCCCAGGAUUAUUUUGGGGAUGCCAUAGCAACGGAGACAGUACCAACAGAGAUGGAAAGUGUCCAAAGAGCAAAUGGGAAGGAGGCGGCUGUACCUUAUUCCUCAUUUCCAGAACUUCUUGUGGGUCUGUGUAGAGAGGCACAAAUUGGUUUGGGUUUUCAAUUCGGAUCGGUGUUCCACUGCUGGUUUUCUCCACCUCGUCUGCUUUCAUCCACUGGGCAGCAUGAAAAGUCAAGGGCAAAUUGUAAGGGCAAAGGGAGGUCUCUUAAGGGUGGAGAAAGGGCACAGAGGGAUUCCUUAGCUGGGAUUCUGGCACUGCAAGGGGUUGGACUGGAUGAUCCUUGGGGUCCCUUCCAACUUCGCAAAUGAUCUGCAAAGCUGAGAGGCAGGAUGGGAUUUGGGGCUUCUGAAUUCAAACUGAUGAGUCAGCUUUUGUAUCCACACUGAGAAAGAGCCCGGAUAUGUAAGGCUACAGACAUUCAGGUUCCUAAUUCAGCAAGAAGAGCUUUUCAGAUCAUUGUGACCCCCAUCUUCUCUCGCUCACCUCACUGUGUGGGCCCUGCUGUCAUGUGACUAGUCCUCAUGAACUGUAUAAUCUGCCACUACUGAAGGUCACAACUCUUAUUACCUAUUUCCUGAUUGUCACUGAAAACAGAAAAGUAUGUCCUCUGAUUUUCUGAAUAGUCCAAGGCAGAAAUUUUCUUGAAAUGAGUUAAAUGGCCUGACUGAAUUAAAACAGCUUUUUGAAUCUUUAAA